rnacentral:lncRNA from 1 species
UUUUUGUCUAUGCACAUGUAGCACAUAGAAUUUUACACUUAUGCUCUUCCGCUCUCCCCCUCCCUCUCAGCAGAGGGAAGGAAAGAUGGAAGGGAAAUGAUUGGAAGUGUGGAAGUGGUAGAAAUGUAUGAUUAUAAGUGCCAGUCACAGAAGUAGCAAACUCUCGUCAGAGGGAAAGAGAUGUAAAUGAAUUGAGAAUGUGGAAGUGGCAAAAGUUAUGAUUUUAAGUCCCCACAUAUGACCUUAAGACGCAAAAAACCGUACCUUGAAAUAUAUUUGUGAAAUCAGAGAACAUUAUAAUACUAUAAAAAGUAUCUGUUAAGAUAAACCUACUCAAGUAUUCAUAUGUCCAACCUAUAAAAAGUAUCUGUAAAGAUAAACCUACUCAAGUAUUCAUAUGUCCAACCUAUAAAAAGUAUCUGUAAAGAUAAACUUACUCAAGUAUUCAUAUGUCCAACCUAAAUGUUUGAUUGCAAUUCUAGAUGCCACCUUAUUCUUUGACCGGACAGAGUGCAUAUCAAACCAUUUUGCAGUGUACUCAUAUUAGAAUUUUUGGAUAAGCAGAUAUACAAUCUUGUGAUCUGCUAUCAAUCUAUCUCAGGUGAGUACUUGAUUGUGGCAGGAUUGAAGGAAAAAUGAC